rfam:Salmo salar isolate Sally breed double haploid chromosome ssa21, whole genome shotgun sequence.
CCUGUCGCAGUCGCACUCAAAUCACCCAAGCACAUUUGGUGUAUGUGCUUGGCUGAGGAGCCAAUGGUGCGAGGCUACCAUCUGUGGAAUUAUGACUGAAGUCAAAAUCCCCCCUAAAUGUAACGAUGCCAUGGAUCUUCGGUUGUCACGGGAUAGCCUGCCUCUUUUGGCAGGUGAGUAGAGCCGUUCGUGAUGGGGUUGGGGUGCGGCCGCAUGAGUUGUCGCCCCUCUCCUGAUGCGCACCGCAUGUUUGUGGGGAACCUGCUGCUAAAUCACUCGUAGCAGACCUAAUUCUGGGUCAGGGUUUCGUAUAUAGCAGAGCAGCUCACUCGCUGUGAUCUAUUGAAAGUCAGCCCUCGAUCCAAGCUUUU